GAGCGUGUGGCUUAGGGGUAAAGUACUUGACUUGUAAUCUGGAGGUCCAGGGUUCGAAUCCCGCCAUGUACA
rnacentral:tRNA from 1 species